rnacentral:piRNA from 1 species
UGUGCAAACUGUAAAAUUGGAUGUUUUGG